AUCUCUCCAAAUAUUCGGCCAAGCAAGGAAAAGAAGGAAACAAAAGAAGAACAAACCCUAGGUGGAGAAUUUCAAGAGAAAAAGUGUGGAAAAUCAAGGAAAACAAGUGAAAAAGGUAGGAUUUUUCAAUUUAAACUUGAAACCUAUUUUCCUUAAGCAUUUCUCCUUAUUUUCCAUGGUUAAAUUACAUGUUUUCAUGAUGAAUUCAUGGCUGGUCAAA
rnacentral:lncRNA from 1 species